rnacentral:rRNA from 1 species
UGCCAGACUCCUACGGGAGGCAGCAGUGGGGAAUAUUGCGCAAUGGACGAAAGUCUGACGCAGCGACGCCGCGUGAGGGAUGAAGGUUUUCGGAUCGUAAACCUCUGUCAGGAGGGAAGAAAGCGCAUGGCGCCAAUCAGCCAUGCGUUGGCGGUACCUCCAAAGGAAGCGCCGGCUAACUCCGUGCCAGCAGCCGCGGUAAUACGGAGGAUGCGAGCGUUAUCCGGAUUUAUUGGGUUUAAAGGGUGCGUAGGCGGACUGGAAAGUCAGCGGUAAAAUCGAGAGGCUCAACCUCUUUCCGCCGUUGAAACUGUCGGUCUUGAGUGGGCGAGAAGUAUGCGGAAUGCGUGGUGUAGCGGUGAAAUGCAUAGAUAUCACGCAGAACUCCGAUUGCGAAGGCAGCAUACCGGCGCCCGACUGACGCUGAGGCACGAAAGCGUGGGUAUCGAACAGGAUUAGAUACCCGCGUAUA